rnacentral:rRNA from 1 species
ACGUAGGGGGCAAGCGUUGUCCGGAAUCACUGGGCGUAAAGGGCGCGUAGGCGGUUGGAUAAGUCAGAUGUGAAAGCCCACGGCUUAACGGGGGAAUUGCUUUUGAAACUGUCAGACUUGAGUAUAAGAGGGGAAAGUGGAAUUCCCGGUGUAGAGGUGAAAUUCGUAGAUAUCGGGAGGAACACCGGUGGCGAAGGCGACUUACUGGAUGAUUACUGACGCUGAGGCGCGAAAGCGUGGGGAGCAAACAG